rnacentral:rRNA from 1 species
AGUGGCGGACGGGUGAGUAACACGUGGGUAACCUACCCUUAAGUGGGGGAUAACAUUUGGAAACAGAUGCUAAUACCGCAUAACCAUUCAGACCACAUGGUCUGAAUGUAAAAGACGGCCUUUGGCUGUCACUUUUGGACGGACCCGCGGCGUAUUAGUUAGUUGGUAAGGUAACGGCUUACCAAGACAAUGAUACGUAGCCGACCUGAGAGGGUAAUCGGCCACAUUGGGACUGAGACACGGCCCAAACUCCUACGGGAGGCAGCAGUAGGGAAUCUUCCACAAUGGACGAAAGUCUGAUGGAGCAACGCCGCGUGAGUGAAGAAGGUUUUAGGAUCGUAAAACUCUGUUGUUGGAGAAGAACAGGGACUAGAGUAACUGUUAGUCC